GGGAGGGUGCAUUGCUAUCGGGGCACUGUUGUGCUGCUGAGGAAAGUCUGCCCACCUCCCGCGUGAUGAACGCGGGAAAGAAGUCACUGGUGAACGCAUGAGCCAGCUCGGGUAACCGAGGGCAACAUCACAGAAACGGUACCGCCUGCAGUCGAUACGGAGGAUGGCGUGAAGGCAUUGGCGACAGUGCUGAGUAAUCGGCUGACGUGACUGCGUGGCUGGAUGAAACGGAUCGUCCUCGCUGGUGCAAGCUCAUUACGGGCGCUUAGUAGAAUGCAAUGACCGCCUGUCCCUCAGGGUCACACCUGAACCUUUGAAAGAUCAGAGGUAUUGGAGGCGUACAAAAGGCAGCUUAUGCCACCCAUGC
rnacentral:RNase_P_RNA from 1 species